rnacentral:lncRNA from 1 species
CAAGAAUCAUAAUCAAUUAUUCCUCACUUUCCCUUGUCAUUUCCAUUACUUUCCCCUACCUCAGGCCCUGCAGCCAACUCCUGGUGCUGGCAGAGCCUUCCAGUUUCCUGUGGCCUGCACAAGUGCAACAGGGGAGGAUUGCACAGCUUAUUAUCCAGAACUGAUGGCAAAUUAAUGUAAAAUGAAAAGCUCUGCGUGCACCUGAAAGUCUCAGCAAGUUAGUACAUCAUCAUCUGCCUUUCUGAGACGUCUGAAUGUCCUAGCCUGCUGUGCUGCAGAUGUGCUUUGUUGUGUCAUAAUUCUCACAACACUGCCUGAUAGGUCUAACAGAGCCAGAGAAAUAGCCUGGAAAAACCUCCAUGAACUGAAGCUGAAAGUGGCCCUGGAGACAGCUGACAUCACCUGCUUUGUAUUAUCAGCUGUAGAACUGUGCUUGUCCACUGGCCAUCUGCCUCAGGAUUGGGCACAGAGGAUGAAUCUGAGCAGCUCGCAAAGUUCUUUAAACAGUGUUAACAAGACUUGGGAACUACUUCAAAUUCUCACAGACAUCAUGCAAUCGGAGAAAAGCAAGGUUUCAUGCUGACACCCCUGUCUCAAGAGAUCUGAACUGCAGAAGUUGACUUGUUUCCCUGGGUCUGAUUUAGGACUCGUUGCCUAUUCUGCUUGAAGUCAAUAACUUACCAAGGGAAGUUUUUGCACAAUUCAUUCUGUCUCCUAGAUGAUCUAACUGAUUGUAAAAACAAAGAUUUAUGUGGA